AUUGAACGCUGGCGGCAGGCCUAACACAUGCAAGUCGAACGAGUGGCGGACGGGUGAGUAAUGUCUGGGAAACUGCCCGAUGGAGGGGGAUAACUACUGGAAACGGUAGCUAAUACCGCAUACCAUCGGAUGUUCACAUAUGGGAUUCGCUAGUAGGGGGGGUAACGGCGCACCUAGGCGACGAUCCCUGGCUGGUCUUAGAGGAAGACCAGCCACACUGGAACUGAGACACGGUCCAGACUCCUACGGGAGGCAGCAGUGGGGAAUAUUGCACAAUGGGCGCAAGCCUGAUGCAGCCAUGCCGCGUGUAUGAAGAAGGCCUUCGGGUUGUAAAGUACUGUCAGCGAGGAGGCGUUACUCGCAGAAGAAGCACCGGCUAACUCCGUGCCAGCCGCCGCGGUAAUUC
rnacentral:rRNA from 1 species